UUGCAACAGCUUCAAGAUACGCAGGAAAAAUUGGAAAAAUUUGAAGUUUUUGUUAGUACCUUCGCGGAAGAAAGAAGCAGGCGAGAUCAGGAGGAAGUGUGUUUGAGGAAAAGAAUAAAGGAAGCUUCCGAAACCAUUGAAGGGUUACUCCAUAAAAUCAAGAUGCUAGAGAAUAGAGGAAGAGUUUAGUUUGAAAUUCAACAGCAAUGCUUUUCUUAAUAACUUAAACAAACGCUUUGAUUUUUUCUUCCGUAUAUAUUAUUAAAUCAUUGGUUACAUUAAUUUCGUGUAGUCGGAGAAAACAAAACUAACAUAGCUUCAUUGUACUUCUAUAUGGAAAAUUCUAGAAAGAGACUCUCGACA